rnacentral:lncRNA from 1 species
ACUUUUGGUAUAGCAUUGGAAAUGUAAAUGAGCUAAAUACCUAAUUAAAAAAAAAAAGAGGGCAGCUACUCUACCAGGAAAAAAAAAAAGAAACAUAGGCUGUGCAACAACUUAGCAGGUGAAUAUAGGGCUUACAGAAUGCACAUUCUAAAGAGCAAAAAUCUGCAAAGGGAUUCAGUUUGCACAGUCCUUUUGGCUUUGUGUCUGAGGACCUGCAUUCAGUUCUAUUUUCUCCCAUUUUUAUCAAUGACAUCUAUGAGUACAGAAGGAAUGUAUGUGAAAUGUGAAUGAGAUAAGCCAGAGUGGGACAGUAGAUAUGAUAGGUGAAACAAAAAACAAACCAAGUAUUAUUAGGAUGCACUCUCAACAGUGUUUCACACUGCAGACAUGGGUGGACAUCCAUCUGCAGCAGCAGCAAGAUAGGCAUCUUAAUCUUUUAAAGCCAUUAAUAUUUCAGAACAUGUAGCAUAGAAUGGUGCUUAAAUACUGCUUAAAUCUUGAAAACACAUGAAAAAUAAGUCAGCCUAGUAAGGCCGAUGCCUAUCCAUAUUAUUGCUCCUAAAAUGUGGCUGCCCAGGCAGCUGGGAUGAGUUUAGGUAUCAUUAAUAUCAGCAGUAACUAAGAAUAGAGAGCUGAUUCCCUAUAUCGCUCCUGCAGUUGCCACAGGACACUGUGCCACUGCUUAAUUCUAGGGAAAGCCAAGACAAAUGAGCAAUGCCUUUGAGAAAAGCCACUAUUGAGAGUCUUGAGGCUGUUCCUUUGAAAAAUGCACCCAAAUGUGCCAAUUCAAGCAAGACAUGAUGGUUGUUUUCAGAUAUAAUUUUGGCUUAAUGUGGAAAAAAGAAAAUAAAAUUGUUUUGUUUAUUGCAAAAAAUUGCAUCUGGGCCAUUGGGGAGAAUUAAAGCAAGCUUAUUUGGACCACUGUCUGGAAUGUGAGGCACUAGAAGACAAAACAGUAUUUCCUGGAACCACAGCUGCACAUUACAGCCUAGACUGGAAUUGGCAGAGAUACUGUAGGUAAAGCCUCUUAACGUAAUUCAGGAGGUUUAAUUACAUAAUCGUUAAGUUCACAUCAAAAUCCAAGAGUUUAAUAUUCACUGAUUUAAUCUUUGCAGCCUCAAUUUAUUAUGAAAUUGAAGGCAUGUGGUGCUACGCAGAGAGCAGAUGUCCGUAAUUGUGUUUACGUGUAUGGAAAAUAAAGGGGCAAUCUGUGUUUACUGGUUCAGUAGACAUUCCCACAUAGAUAUACACACAUAUGCAAAUGUGCAUACACAUACAUUAGUCCACAUAAAUGCAGACAUUGAGAAAAUAUAUUUAAUUAUUUAAAUCUAAACAGGAGAGAAAGCUUGACUUCUCCUAGAACUGUUUAUAUUCAUGAUGAAAAAAAUGAAUAAAGCAAGUCAGAGAUAUAUCUUAGAGCCUCUGCUUUGAAGUAAAUGUUC